rnacentral:rRNA from 1 species
GUGAUUUGUCUGCUUAAUUGCGAUAACGAACGAGACUCUGGCCUACUAAAUAGUCGGUCCGGCUUCCUUGUGCAGCCGGCGAUGACAAAUCUUCUUAGAGGGACAAACGGCUUUUAGCCGUACGAGAUUGAGCAAUAACAGGUCUGUGAUGCCCUUAGAUGUCCUGGGCCGCACGCGCGCUACAAUGGAGGUGUCAGCGUGUCUUCCCUGGCCGAGAGGCUCGGGUAACCCGCUGAAACACCUUCGUGCUUGGGAUUGUGGCUUGAAAUUGUUCCACAUGAACGAGGAAUUCCCAGUAAAGGCGCGUCAUUAGCACGCCUUGAUUACGUCCCUGCCCUUUGUACACACCGC